GGGGCUGAUUCUGGAUUCGACGGGAUUUGCGAAACCCAAGGUGCAUGCCGAGGGGCGGUUGGCCUCGUAAAAAGCCGCAAAAAAUAGUCGCAAACGACGAAAACUACGCUUUAGCAGCUUAAUAACCUGCUUAGAGCCCUCUC
rnacentral:tmRNA from 1 species